CAGGGGAGCGAAAGGGAUUAGAUACCCCUGUAGUCCUGGCCGUAAACGAUGAACACUAGGUGUCGGGGGAAUCGACCCCCUCGGUGUCGUAGCCAACGCGUUAAGUGUUCCGCCUGGGGAGUACGCACGCAAGUGUGAAACUCAAAGGAAUUGACGGGGGCCCGCACAAGCGGUGGAGUAUGUGGUUUAAUUCGAUGCAACGCGAAGAACCUUACCAGGGUUUGACAUCCUGCGAAUCUCUUGGAAACGAGAGAGUGCCUUCGGGAGCGCAGUGACAGGUGGUGCAUGGCUGUCGUCAGCUCGUGUCGUGAGAUGUUGGGUUAAGUCCCGCAACGAGCGCAACCCACGUCGUUAGUUGCCAGCAUUUAGUUGGGCACUCUAGCGAGACCGCCGGUGAUAAACCGGAGGAAGGUGUGGAUGACGUCAAGUCAUCAUGCCCCUUACAUCCUGGGCUACACACGUACUACAAUGCUACGGACAAAGGGCAGCAAGCUCGCGAGAGUUAGCAAAUCCCAUAAACCGUGGCUCAGUUCAGAUCGUAGGCUGCAACUCGCCUACGUGAAGGAGGAAUCGCUAGUAAUCGCAGGUCAGCAUACUGCGGUGAAUACGUUCCCGGGCCUUGUACACACCGCCCGUCACACCAUGGAAGUUGGCCACGCCCGAAGCCGUUACUCCAACCCUUGUGGAGGAGGACGUCGAAGGUGGGGCUGAUGACUGGGGUG
rnacentral:rRNA from 1 species